CCUACGGGAGGCUGCAGUGGGGAAUAUUGCGCAAUGGGCGAAAGCCUGACGCAGCGACGCCGCGUGAGGGCUGAAGGUUCUCGGAUCGUAAACCUCUGUCAGCAGGGAAGAAAUUCUAUGAUGCUAAUCAGUUUUGUAUUGACGGUACCUUCACAGGAACCACCGGCUAACUCCGUGCCAGCAGCCGCGGUAAUACGGAGGGUGCGAUCGUUACUCGGAAUUACUGGGCGUAAAGCGCACGUAGGCUGCAUGACAAGUCAAGGGUGAAAUGCCACGGCUCAACCGUGGAACGGACUUUGAAACUGUCAAACGGGAGGAUGGGAGAGGGCGGCGGAAUUCCUGGUGUAGGAGUGAAAUGCGUAGAUAUCAGGAGGAACAUCAGUGGCGAAGGCGGCCGGCUGGAACAAAACUGACGCUGAGGUGCGAAAGCGUGGGUAGCAAACAGGAUUAGAUACCCUAGUAGUC
rnacentral:rRNA from 1 species